AGGACGAACGCUGGCGGCGUGCUUAACACAUGCAAGUCGAGCGGAAAGGCCCUUCGGGGUACUCGAGCGGCGAACGGGUGAGUAACACGUGAGUAAUCUGCCCCUAGCUCUGGGAUAGCUCCGGGAAACCGGGAUUAAUACCGGAUAUGACCACUUUAGACAUCUGUUGUGGUGGAAAGAAUUUCGGCUAGGGAUGAGCUCGCGGCCUAUCAGCUUGUUGGUGGGGUAACGGCCUACCAAGGCGACGACGGGUAGCCGGCCUGAGAGGGCGACCGGCCACACUGGGACUGAGACACGGCCCAGACUCCUACGGGAGGCAGCAGUGGGGAAUAUUGCGGCAAUGGGCGAAAAGCCUGACGCAGCGACGCCGCGUGGGGGAUGAAGGCCUUCGGGUUGUAAACCCCUUUCAGCAGGGACGAAGCGAAAGUGACGGUACCUGCAGAAGAAGCGCCGGCUAACUACGCGCCAGCAGCCGC
rnacentral:rRNA from 1 species